rnacentral:tRNA from 1 species
GGGCUAUUAGCUCAGUUGGAUAGAGCGUUGGCCUCCGGAGCCAAAGGCCGCAGGUUCGAGUCCUGCAUAGCCCA